rnacentral:rRNA from 1 species
UACAGGGGUGCAACGUUGCUCGGAAUCAUUGGGCGUAAAGCGCACGUAGGCGGUCUGUUAUGUCGGAUGUGAAAGCCCUCGGCUCAACUGACGGAAGUGCAUCCGAAACUGGCAGGCUAGAGUACCAAAGAGGGUCGCGGAAUUCCCGGUGUAGAGGUGAAAUGACGCAGAGUAUCAGGAGGAACACCGAUGGCGAAGGCAGGUCUCUGGGCCACUACUGACGCUGAGAAGCGAAAGCAUGGGGAGCGAACAGG